rnacentral:misc_RNA from 1 species
UCUAAAAAAGCAAAUAAAGUGGGAUAAAAUUUUUUUUUCAAACAUCACUUGAAAUGGGAUGGAGGGGGUACUUUUUUGAAGACGUCAAGGCAUCAUAAAAUCCUGGUUUAGUAUUUUGUUAUCAGUUGGUAAUAAUUUAUUAAUAAUAUUAAAACUACUUGGUUGGCCAGAUCCUAAGUCAUGGUGUAGAACUUUAGAAAAUUAUAGUUGAAACAUGUUUGUACAUUCAUGAAAGAUACAUAUGCUUAUGAGGGAACCUUAAUUAGCUCCUCAUCUUUUUUUUCUCAAUAUCAACAUCUUACCUAUAUAUAUAUUCAAAUUAUUUUGUUUUCUCUAUGCUGACUGGGUUUCUUAUCUUAUUUAUAUUUCUCGAUUUCAAGAACUUUGUGUUGUGAACUAUUAAUUAAAGAGCUUGGGAGAUUCAUUUAAUAUAUUUUUUUUAAUUAAACUUUUGAG